rnacentral:rRNA from 1 species
AGUGAACGCUGGCGGUAGGCCUAACACAUGCAAGUCGAACGGCAGCACAGUAAGUGCUUGCUAUUACGGGUGGCGAGUGGCGGAUGGGUGAGGAAUAACUCGGAAUCUACUUUUUCGUGGGGGCUCACGUAGGGAAACAUACGCUAAUACCGCAUACGACCUACGGGUGAAAGCAGGGGAUUAUCGAACCUUGAGAGAUUGAAAUAGCCGAUGUCGGAUUAGUUAGUUGGCAGGGUAGAGGCACACCAAGGCGACGAACCGUAGCUGAGCUGAGAGGAUGAUCAGCCACACUGGAACGGAGACACGGUCCAGGCUCCUACGGGAGGCAGCAGUGGGGAAUAUUGGACAAGGGGCGCAAGCCUGAUCCAGCCAUACCGCGUGGGUUAAGGAGGCCUUCGGGUUGUAAAUCCCUUUUGUUGGGAUAGAAAAGCAGCAGGUUAAUACCCCGCUGUUCUGACGGUACCCAAAGAAUAAGCACCGGCUAACUUCGUG